UGACGAAAGCACGGAGCCGGGCGAUAAGAAACGGCAGCGGAUCAGGCCGCCGAGGGUCAAUCGCGUGACGAAAGCGAUGUAGAAGCUCUGAUAUCUAAAGUACUUUAGGAUUCAUCAAUAAACGUCACCAUAUACAGGAAAAAUUCAAGUAUUUGCGCUGAUUGUAUGUACAUGUACACGCUGGAACGUUCUUACAGCUAUUAUAGGACGUAGUUUCGAAUCGUGUGUGUGUGAUGUACGAAUAUCUAGAUCACAGAAUUUACAUUCGUUAUUCAAAUUCCGAAUAUUUAAAAGGAACACGUACGUAUAGACACGUCACGUACGGAAACUUCGAAACUUGUGACGACACAAAGACAAGUGUAUACACAGGUGACAAAAGA